GACGAACGCUGGCGGCGUGCUUAACACAUGCCAGUCGAACGGAAAGGCCCUGCUUGCAGGGUCCUCGAGUGGCGAACGGGUGAGUAACACGUGGGUGAUCUGCCCUGCACUUCGGGUUAAGCCUGGGAAACUGGGUCUAAUACCGGAUAGGAGCCAUUUUUAGUGUGAUGGUUGGAAAGUUUUUUCGGUGUAGGAUGAGCUCGCGGCCUAUCAGCUUGUUGGUGGGGUAAUGGCCUACCAAGGCGGCGACGGGUAGCCGGCCUGAGAGGGUGGACGGCCACAUUGGGACUGAGAUACGGCCCAGACUCCUACGGGAGGCAGCAGUGGGGAAUAUUGCACAAUGGGCGCAAGCCUGAUGCAGCGACGCCGCGGGGGGGAUGACGGCCUUCGGGUUGUAAACUCCGUUCGCUAGGGACGAAGCUUUUUGUGACGGUACCUAGAUAAGAAGCACCGGCUAACUACGUG
rnacentral:rRNA from 1 species